AUGACUUUGAUCUGCGUCCUCAUCUGGACUCUCCUCUGCUGCUGUUUCACAGGUAAAUCCAGAGGACAGUACACUCUGACUCAGCCUGGAGCAGUGAGGUCUGCUCCGGGAGGCUCCGUCUCCAUCAACUGUAGGACCAGUCAGGAUGUUUAUGCUGGGAGCAACAACCACGAAUUAGCCUGGUACCAACAGAAAGAUGGAGGAACUCCUAAACUGCUCAUUUACAUAGCUAGCACUCGUCAGUCAGGGACUCCAGGUCGUUUUACAGGCAGAGGAUCAAACUCUGACUUCACUCUGACCAUCAGUGGAGUUCAGACUGAAGAUGCAGCAGUUUACUACUGUCAGAGUGUUCACAUCCCCAACAGUCAGUGGGUGGGCACACAGUGA